AAUAACAAUACAAGGCAGUUAAAAUGCUUUGUAAUUGGAAUGAUAGAAAUUUAAACACUUUUUAAAGUAUCAAUUGGAGGGCAAGUCUGGUGCCAGCAGCCGCGGUAAUUCCAGCUCCAAUAGCGUAUAUUAAAAUUGUUGCAGUUAAAAAGCUCGUAGUUGAAUUUCUGUUAAAAAUAACCGGUCUGCUUUUAAUAAAAGUGGUAUCUUGGUGUGUUUUUAGCAAUAAUGUCCUUUGAAAUGUUUUUUACUUUAUUGUAAUAAAUAAUAUUCAGGAUUUUUACUUUGAGAAAAUUAGAGUGUUUCUAGCAGGCUAACGCUUUGAAUACUGCAGCAUGGAAUAAUAAAAUAGGAUUUUAGUUCUACAUUAUUGGUUUUAAGAACUAAAUUAAUGAUUGAUAGGGACAGUUGGGGGCAUUUGUAUUUAACUGUCAGAGGUGAAAUUCUUAGAUUUGUUAAAGACAAACUACUGCGAAAGCAUUUGCCAAAGAUGUUUUCAUUAAUCAAGAACGAAAGUUAGGGGAUCGAAGACGAUCAGAUACCGUCGUAGUCUUAACUAUAAACUAUGCCGACUAGAGA
rnacentral:rRNA from 1 species